CACGUAGGGGGCGAGCGUUGUCCGGAAUUACUGGGCGUAAGGGCGCGCAGGCUGUUAUGCGAGUCUGCUGUGAAAUGUACCGGCUCAACCGGUGCCUUGCGGCGGAUACUGCAUAGCUGGAGUACUGGAGAGGGAAGUGGAAUUCCCGGUGUAGCGGUGAAAUGCAUAGAUAUCACGAGGAACUCCGAUUGCGCAGGCAGCUUACUAAACCAUAACUGACGCUCAGGCACGAAGGCGUGGGGAUCAAACAGGA
rnacentral:rRNA from 1 species